rnacentral:lncRNA from 1 species
CUCAGCCAUCAUACUCGUGGCUGGAAAAGGUGAAUAACGAUAUAAAAAUCAGUUCCCCCCUUAAAAUCACCUCCAAACAGCCACUAAGAUUACGCAGAUUAAGUAAGAAAAAACCUUAAUCCGGUGAGUUGGGGAGUCUAGACAUGAAACGGUCAGGCUUUGGCACCGAAGCGAGGAUGGAAAAUUGGUUAUUCGUAGACUCAUAGAGGCAGCGACGAUUUCAGGCGCAGAGGCUGUAAAUUGUAGCAUCGAGAGG